rnacentral:lncRNA from 1 species
UAGCACUAGCGUUGGACUCCAGGUGAGAAACUAUGACUCCUUCUCCAAUUUCUUUCCUGCGCAUAAUAUCUCCUUUGUUUGAACCGAAUAUUUUGUAUAUAUUGAAGCCUUCGAUACCUUGAUUACAUUUGUUCUUGAAAUAUGAUCCUUAAUGUUUUGCGAGCAUAUUGUUUUCUUGGCUCGAACUUGGAACCAUGAUCUUGUCCUUGAAAUCUUGAACUUUUCAAUUCUCUUGGUUGCUAUGUUCACGGCUAAUUCCUAUGCUUGAUUCAUUGGCCUGAACAUUUUCCUUGAAUCGAUAUUGAACUAUAUUUAUUCUCAAAAUCUUGUCUUGAAUGCCUUCCGAGAAUAAAUAUUUUGUUGGCUCGAACUUGAAUCUCAUGUUUAUUGAAUAUAUCGAGAUCUUGAUAUACUCGUUCUUGGAACCUGACAUGGAAUUUAUUGUUCUUCUUGAAUUCCAUAUUCAUGAUAAUUCUUCAUUGGCUUGAAUUGAAAUGUGAACAUGUUCAUUAUCCUGAGACUUGAUAUUCAAUUAUCAUGAUCGUGACUUAUCUUGUGAAUGAUUGACUUGAUUCUUGAAUUGAUUCUUGAAAUGAAUGACUUGAUAUUCCUAAAAGGAAUGAUAUUGAUUCGUGAACCUAUUGUCCCCACCCUUGAGGACGCUCUUGGGGGAGCUGGGCCCUAGGACCAUUUCGGCAAGACGAUCGGGCAGUAUUGGGCUGACGAUGACUAGUCUCCCGAAUGGUACCUCCUGAUGGUUCGGACUCACGUUCGUUUGGAGUUAAACGUUCCUGAGCCGGAUCGGCACGUUCCGGUCGUGCCUCUUGCCUGUUUCCGACCGAGUGGCCACUCGGGACGGAGUGGAGGGACAAGGAUGUGAUAUGAUUUUAUUUGUUGGGAGUUACAAGGUUGGAGACCCCACCAAAUAUUGAUCUCAAGCCGUACAUGUUACACUCUUGUACAUGUUACACUUUUGUUAAUGAAAUUCUUGUAAAGUCUCUCGUUAUAUGUGUUGUUCACUUGAUUCCCAUCAUACUCAUGGAUCAUAUGUUUUUCACUAAGCCAUUCGGACUUAUUCGUUUUUCCUUUCUGAUAUUAAUGCGCAGGUAAAAGAAAGAUUUAUACCUAAAUUUUUUUACUAAGAGUUAAAGCUCGUGUAUGCCUCCGAUUAGUCUCGUCGAGAGGUAUCUCUAUUUAUGUUCCGUAUAGGAAUCCUUUGAUCGAGAAUUUUGUAAUUGAGUAAGUAGUGUCGAAGUCGACUUGUAAUAGAAUCCCCUUUUGUAAACAAGAUGGUAUAGAUAUUGGGGUUUAAUGUUUUGAUUGUCGAAAUUUGGAGGAGCA